AAUAGUUCUAUUUUAUUUUCCCUUGUGAAGUGAGCAUUGUAACCCAGUGUUGUUGCUAACAUUAUUGUUGUUCAGUCGCUAAGUUGCUAACAUUAAAUUAAGCACGGAGUGGAGUGACUAUCAUAUUAUACAGUCUCAUUAAAUCUUAAGUAUUUUUAUGAUAAUUUUAAGUCCCUGUGUUGUUUAAAAUCUUAAUCUUUACUGUGUUUUGGUUUCUGUUUAUGCUCUUCUAAAUUACAGCUUCAUACUCCAGAAGUAUUCCUUUGUCUUUCCUCUUUAUAGCAAAUAUGACUUCCUUCUCUUCAACUCCAAAAUCCUUAUCAAAGUAACACACUGAUGGUUUCAUGGGCAAAUGAUAUCUAGAAUUUCUAUUUGGCUGUGAGAAAUAAUUUAAAAAUUAUUUGAGAACAAU
rnacentral:lncRNA from 1 species